GGGGGGGACAACGGCUGGAAACGGCCGCUAAUACCGUAUGUGAUUGCGGACCCUUUGGGGACCGCAAAGAAAGGCGCUUUAUGGCGCCGCUAAGGGAUGAGUCCGUUCCCCAUUGGUUUGUUGGUAGGGUAAUGGUCUACCAAGGUUUUGAUGGGUAGCCGAGUUGGGAGGUUGAUUGGCCACACUGGGACUGAGAUAUGGCCCAGACACCUACGGGUGGCAGCAUAGGGAAUCUUGCGCAGUGGGCGAAAGCCUGACGCAGCCAUGCCGCGUGAGCGAUGAAGGCCUUCGGGUCGUAAAGCUCUUUUCUGAGGGAAGAAAUACCGAGGCAGGAGGUGGUCUCGGCUUGACGGUACCUCAGGAAUAAGGAGCGGCUAACUCCGUGCUAGUAGUUGUGGUAGUGCGGAGGCUCCAAGCGUUGUUCGGAUUUACUGGGCGUAAAGGGAGCGCAGGCGGACAGGUCAGUGGAAAGUGGAGUCCUGAGGUUUAACCUCGGACGUGCUUUCCAUACUGCCGGUCUUGAGUUCGUGAGAGGAAGGCGGAGUUCAGGGUGUAGUGGUGAAAUGUUUAGAUAUUUUGAGGAAUAUUAGUGGUGAAAGUGGCCUUCUGGCACGAAACUGACGCUGAGGCUCGAAAGCGUGGGUAGCGAACGGGAUUAGAUGUCCCGGUAGUCCACGCCGUAAACGUUGUGUACUAGGUGCAGGAGGUAUCGACCCCUUCUGUGCCGCAGCUAGUGCAUUAAGUACACCGCCUGGGGAGUACGGUCGCAAGACUGAAACUCAAAGGAAUUGACGGGGGCCCGCACAAGCGGUGGAGCAUGUGGUUUAAUUCGAGGCAACGUGAAGAACCUUACCCAGGCUUGACAUCCCCGGACCUUUUUGGAAAUAGGGUUUUCCCUUCGGGGACCGGGUGACAGGUGUUGUAUGGCUGUCGUCAGCUCGUGUUGUGAGAUGUUGGGUUAGGUUUCGCAACGAGCGUAACCCUUGUCCUUAGUUACCAGCACGUUAUGGUGGGUAUUUUAAGGAGACUGCCGGUGAUAAACCGGAGGAAGGUGGGGACGACGUUAAGUCAUCAUGGCCCUUACGCCUGGGGCUACACACGUGCUACAAUGGCCGGUACAGUGAGUCGCAAUACCGCGAGGUGGAGCCAGUCUCAAAAAGCCGGUCUCAGUUCGGAUUGGAGUCUGUAGUUUGACUCCAUGAAGUCGGAAUCGCUAGUAAUCGCGUAUCAGCUACGACGCGGUGAAUACGUUCCCGGGCCUUGUACACACCGCCCGUCACAUGACCCGAGCCGGGUGCACCCGAAGUCGCUGGUCCAACCUUUCGAGGAGGAAGGCGCCGAAGGUGUGUUUGGUAAGGGGGAUGAAGUCGAAACAAGGUA
rnacentral:rRNA from 1 species